rnacentral:rRNA from 1 species
GAUUAACGCUAGCGGCAGGCCUAAUACAUGCAAGUCGAACGGUAAAUAGUGUAGCAAUACAUUAUGAGAGUGGCGCACGGGUGAGUAACGCGUAUGCAACCUACCUUUAACUGGGGAUAGCCUUCCGAAAGGAAGAUUAAUACCGCAUAAAAUUAUGAAGUGGCAUCACUUUAUAAUCAAAACUACCGGUGGUUAAAGAUGGCGAUGCGUGAUAUUAGCUAGUUGGUGAGGUAACGG